ACUAAAUAGAUACCCGGGUAGUCCACGCCCUAAACGAUGUCUACUAGUUGUUGGUGGAGUAAAAUCCAUGAGUAAACGCAGCUAAACGCGUGAAGUAGACCGCCCGGGGAGUACGGUCGCAAGAUUAAAACUCAAAGGAAUUGACGGGGCCCGCACAAGCGGUGGAUUAUGUGGAUUAAUUCGAUGCAACGCGAAAACCUUACCUGGCCUUGACAUGCCACUAACGAAGCAGAGAUGCAUUAGGUGCCCGUAAGGGAAAGUGGACACAGGUGCUGCAUGGCUGUCGUCAGCUCGUGUCGUGAGAUGUUGGGUUAAGUCCCGCAACGAGCGCAACCCUUGCCAUUAAUUGCCAUCAUUUAGUUGGGCACUUUAAUGGGACUGCCGGUGACAAACCGGAGGAAGGUGGGGAUGACGUCAAGUCCUCAUGGCCCUUAUGGCCAGGGCUUCACACGUAAUACAAUGGUCGGUACAGAGAGUUGCCAACCCGCGAGGGGUAGCUAAUCUCAGAAAGCCGAUCGUAGUCCGGAUUGUUCUCUGC
rnacentral:rRNA from 1 species